AGAGUUUGAUCCUGGCUCAGGACGAACGCUGGCGGCGUGCUUAACACAUGCAAGUCGAGCGGAAAGGCCUUUCGGGGUACUCGAGCGGCGAACGGGUGAGUAACACGUGAGUAACCUGCCUUGGCUUUGGGAUAACCCUCGGAAACGGGGGCUAAUACCGGAUAUGACCUUGUCCUGCAUGGGGUGGGGUGGAAAGUUUU
rnacentral:rRNA from 1 species